rnacentral:lncRNA from 1 species
CAAAUCAAGCUUCCAGCUACAAGGAAAUAAACUUGGAUACAACCAAUGGGACUAGAGCCUACAUCAAAAUCUGGAUUGACACAUAUUCUAACCACUGACAUGACAAAAUACAAUCCAAAAUCUAACAAUUUCAGUUCAUUGGACUAAAGAACACAAUAAUUGAUUUAUACACAAUGUAAUUUCUAAAACAGUUUUUGAACCAUCUGUAUUCUACCAGGUUUAAACCAGGGUGUAAGACAAAAAUAGAGGCAUACAAAAGCUAAGCUAAAACACAGGUGGCAAAAGUAAUCGUUAGAACUGAUAUUUUCAUUCAAGUUCGAUGUGGUCACAGAUCAUUAUGCAAGGUCUAGCCCGGCUUCAUUUCCAUGAUAGUUUUAGGGGAAUACCUAUACCAGGAAAUUUCAAAGGGAAAAGAAGUGAAGGAUCAACAAUAAAAUAGUAGCAGAAUGCAGCCUCAGGAAAUCAGCUCAAACCCAAAAAUAUACCAGCUUCAAAUGAGCACUGACCAAGUAAACUUCAAACCAAAGUUUUAUGAUCCAAAACUCAAACCAUUUUAACCCCAGAUAAACUAGAAAUGCUUCAGAAAUAGAGAGUUUUCGAGACAAUCCAAAAUGAAUUCAAUGAAACAGUAGUUUUUGAAUAAAGUUUCAGCUUGUUUUCUAUCUUUGCAGAAAAUGUUUCCUUUUAGUCUCUAAAGUUUUUUCUAAAUUUCUGAAAAUCUUUU